AAAAAUAAAAUAUUUUGAUUAAGUUUUAUAUGAAGAUCAAUUAUAAAAUUUAAAAAUAUUGGCGGUGUUUUACUUUAUUCUGAGAAUCUUGUAUAGUUAAAAUGAUAAUACACAAUAAAUCUUAUCUUUAUAUAUGGCUUAUAUAUUGCUGUUUAAUUUAUAAUUUGUUUAAUAAUAAAUAAUAAUAUAAAGUUGUAAUUAAUUCAAGUCAAAAUGUAGUUUUAUGAAGGUCUUUAUGAGUUGCUGUUUUCUGGUAAAGGAGAUAAAAAAAAUUUAAAAGAGUUUUUUAUAGGAGGAUUAGGAAGUAAAAAAAAAGUAGCUAGUUUUUUUGAUAAUUUUUGUAAUCAUGU
rnacentral:rRNA from 1 species